UACGUAGGGUGCGAGCGUUGUCCGGAAUUACUGGGCGUAAAGAGCUCGUAGGCGGCUUGACAAGUCACUUGUGAAAUCUCUGAGCUUAACUCAGAACGGCCAAGUGAUACUGUCGAGCUAGAGUGCAGAAGGGGCAAUCGGAAUUCUUGGUGUAGCGGUGAAAUGCGUAGAUAUCAAGAGGAACACCUGAGGUGAAGACGGGUUGCUGGGCUGACACUGACGCUGAGGCGCGAAAGCCAGGGGAGCAAACGGG
rnacentral:rRNA from 1 species